rnacentral:rRNA from 1 species
GACGAACGCUGGCGGCGUGCUUAACACAUGCAAGUCGAACGGAAAGGCCCUGCUUUUGUGGGGUGCUCGAGUGGCGAACGGGUGAGUAACACGUGAGUAACCUGCCCUUGACUUUGGGAUAACUUCAGGAAACUGGGGCUAAUACCGGAUAGGAGCUCCUGCUGCACGGUGGGGGUUGGAAAGUUUCGGCGGUUGGGGAUGGACUCGCGGCUUAUCAGCUUGUUGGUGGGGUAGUGGCUUACCAAGGCUUUGACGGGUAGCCGGCCUGAGAGGGUGACCGGCCACAUUGGGACUGAGAUACGGCCCAGACUCCUACGGGAGGCAGCAGUGGGGAAUAUUGCACAAUGGGCGGAAGCCUGAUGCAGCAACGCCGCGUGCGGGAUGACGGCCUUCGGGUUGUAAACCGCUUUCGCCUGUGACGAAGCGUGAGUGACGGUAAUGGGUAAAGAAGCACCGGCUAACUACGUGCCAGCAGCCGCGGUGAUACGUAGGGUGCGAGCGUUGUCCGGAUUUAUUGGGCGUAAAGGGCUCGUAGGUGGUUGAUCGCGUCGGAAGUGUAAUCUUGGGGCUUAACCCUGAGCGUGCUUUCGAUACGGGUUGACUUGAGGAAGGUAGGGGAGAAUGGAAUUCCUGGUGGAGCGGUGGAAUGCGCAGAUAUCAGGAGGAACACCAGUGGCGAAGGCGGUUCUCUGGGCCUUUCCUGACGCUGAGGAGCGAAAGCGUGGGGAGCGAACAGGCUUAGAUACCCUGGUAGUCCACGCUGUAAACGGUGGGUACUAGGUGUGGGGUCCAUUCCACGGGUUCCGUGCCGUAGCUAACGCUUUAAGUACCCCGCCUGGGGAGUACGGCCGCAAGGCUAAAACUCAAAGGAAUUGGCGGGGCCCCGCACAAGCGGCGGAGCAUGCGGAUUAAUUCGAUGCAACGCGUAGAACCUUACCUGGGUUUGACAUGGAUCGGGAGUGCUCAGAGAUGGGUGUGCCUCUUUUGGGGUCGGUUCACAGGUGGUGCAUGGCUGUCGUCAGCUCGUGUCGUGAGAUGUUGGGUUAAGUCCCGCAACGAGCGCAACCCUUGUUCACUGUUGCCAGCACGUUAUGGUGGGGACUCAGUGGAGACCGCCGGAGUCAACUCGGAGGAAGGUGGGGAUGACGUCAAGUCAUCAUGCCCCUUAUGUCCAGGGCUUCACGCAUGCUACAAUGGCUGGUACAGAGAGUGGCGAGCCUGUGAGGGUGAGCGAAUCUCGGAAAGCCGGUCUCAGUUCGGAUUGGGGUCUGCAACUCGACCUCAUGAAGUCGGAGUCGCUAGUAAUCGCAGAUCAGCAACGCUGCGGUGAAUACGUUCCCGGGGCU